rnacentral:ncRNA from 1 species
CGAACCCGCGCGGGAGAGCCGGAACGACCGUCACCACGGUCGCGACCGGCGCCGAAGGAGCAAGUCCUCCCCGGAAUCUCUCAGGCCCCCCUACCGCCCGGGCGAG